rnacentral:rRNA from 1 species
AAAGUUGUUGCAGUUAAAAAGCUCGUAGUUGGAUUUCGGGACGGCACGGUCGGUCCGCCGCAAGGUGUGUCACUGGCCGGGCUGUUCUUCCUCGCAAAGACUGCGUGUGCUCUUAGCUGAGUGUGCGCAGGACUUGCGACGUUUACUUUGAAAAAAUUAGAGUGUUCAAAGCAGGCCAUCGCUUGAAUACAUAAGCAUGAAAUAAUGGAAUAAGACUUUGGUUCUAUUUUGUUGGUUUCUGGAACCGAAGUAAUGAUUAAGAGGGACAGUUGGGGGCAUUCGUAUUUCGUUGUCAGAGGUGAAAUUCUUGGAUUUACGAAAGACGAACUACUGCGAAAGCAUUUGCCAAGAAUGUUUUCAUUAAUCAAGAACGAAAGUUAGAGGAUCGAAGACGAUCAGAUACCGUCCUAGUUCUAACCAUAAACGAUGCCGACUAGGGAUCAGAGAGUGUUAUUGGAUGACCUCUUUGGCACCUUAUGGGAAACCAAAGUUUUUGGGUUCCG